AAAUUGAAGAGUUUGAUCAUGGCUCAGAUUGAACGCUGGCGGCAGGCCUAACACAUGCAAGUCGAACGGUAACAGGAAGCAGCUUGCUGCUUUGCUGACGAGUGGCGGACGGGUGAGUAAUGUCUGGGAAACUGCCUGAUGGAGGGGGAUAACUACUGGAAACGGUAGCUAAUACCGCAUAACGUCGCAAGACCAAAGAGGGGGACCUUCGGGCCUCUUGCCAUCGGAUGUGCCCAGAUGGGAUUAGCUAGUAGGUGGGGUAACGGCUCACCUAGGCGACGAUCCCUAGCUGGUCUGAGAGGAUGACCAGCCACACUGGAACUGAGACACGGUCCAGACUCCUACGGGAGGCAGCAGUGGGGAAUAUUGCACAAUGGGCGCAAGCCUGAUGCAGCCAUGCCGCGUGUAUGAAGAAGGCCUU
rnacentral:rRNA from 1 species